AAGCGAAACGGCGACGUCAAGCAAAUCGCUAAAAGACUUGUCUCAGUGCGGAUUGGAGUCUGAAACCCGACUCCAUGAAGUUGGAAUCGCUAGUAAUCGCGCAUCAGCAUGGCGCGGUGAAUACGUUCCCGGGCCUU
rnacentral:rRNA from 1 species